CUCUGGUGCAUUGUAGUUGCACUGCAUGGUGACACUGACCUCGUGCGGUGUGGGUGCACUGCAACCAGAG
rnacentral:pre_miRNA from 1 species